UUGUAAUUUGGAGGGUUUAUAUAUUUUGUUUCUUUUUCUUUUUUGUGGGUAUGCUUCCGCAUGCUUAGGACUUUGUUUUUUUUUGUUUUUAUUUUCCUAAUAACUAAUAUCAGAGUCAGGUUACGAUCAAGGGAGGAAGGAAGAGUCACAGAAAAUUAUGAUCAAGUAAAACAGGAAGAGUAACAAAAAAAAUUGAUCAAGGGAUGAAGAAGACAAAAGAGAUUGAAGAGUAAUGAUUUUACAAAUGUGACUAAUUAUUAUAAUUAUAAUGAUCGUU
rnacentral:lncRNA from 1 species